rnacentral:rRNA from 1 species
AUUGAACGCUGGCGGCAGGCUUAACACAUGCAAGUCGAGCGGAGAUGAGGUGCUUGCACCUUAUCUUAGCGGCGGACGGGUGAGUAAUGCUUAGGAAUCUGCCUAUUAGUGGGGGACAACACUCCGAAAGGAAUGCUAAUACCGCAUACGUCCUCCGGGAGAAAGCAGGGGAUCUUCGGACCUUGCGCUAAUAGAUGAGCCUAAGUCGGAUUAGCUAGUUGGUGGGGUAAAGGCCUACCAAGGCGACGAUCUGUAGCGGGUCUGAGAGGAUGAUCCGCCACACUGGGACUGAGACACGGCCCAGACUCCUACGGGAGGCAGCAGUGGGGAAUAUUGGACAAUGGGGGGAACCCUGAUCCAGCCAUGCCGCGUGUGUGAAGAAGGCCUUAUGGUUGUAAAGCACUUUAAGCGAGGAGGAGGCUACUUUAGUUAAUACCUAGAGAUAGUGGACGUUACUCGCAGAAUAAGCACCGGCUAACUCUGUGCCAGCCGCCGCAGUAACAC